AUAUAACAGGUUAGGUAGUUACACACUGAUAUAACAGGUUAGGUAGUUACACACUGAUAUAACAGGUUAGGUAGUUACACACUGAUAUAACAGGUUAGGUAGUUACACACUGAUAUAACAGGUUAGUUAGUUACACACUGAUAUAACAGGUUAGUGAGUUACACACUGAUAUAACAGGUUAGGUAGUUACACACUGAUAUAACAGGUUAGUGAGUUGCACACUGAUAUAACAGGUUAGGUAGUUGCACACUGAUAUAACAGGUUAGUGAGUUGCACACUGAUAUAACAGGUUAGUGAGUUGCACACUGAUAUAACAGGUGAGUGAGUUGCACACUGAUAUAACAGGUUAGUGAGUUGCACACUGAUAUAACAGGUUAGUUAGUAGACACUGAUAUAACAGGUGAGUGAGUUGCACACUGAUAUAACAGGUUAGUGAGUUGCACACUGAUAUAACAGGUUAGUUAGUAGACACUGAUAUAACAGGUUAGUUAGUAGACACUGAUAUAACAGGUUAGUGAGUUGCACACUGAUAUAACAGGUUAGUGAGUUGCACACUGAUA